rnacentral:misc_RNA from 1 species
GAUGAAGAACGCAGCGAAAUGCGAUAAGUAAUGUGAAUUGCAGAAUUCAGUGAAUCAUCGAAUCUUUGAACGCACCUUGCACCCUUUGGCAUUCCGAAGGGUAUGCUCGUUUGAGUGUCAUUGUACUCUCACACUUCCAAUUCUUUGGAUUGGGAGCGGUGGACUUGGGUGCUGCUGCUUACCGUGGCUCACCUCAAAUGUGUUAGUGCAACCGUUGGUUAGACAUAGUACAGCGUGAUAAGUAUCUUCGCUGGCGCCUCACUCGAGGGUGGCUGAUCAGGGCUCUGUGCUCACAAUCGUCUUCGGACAAUCACUGACAACUUGACCUCAAAUCGAGUAGGACUACCCGCUGAACUUAAGCAUAUCAAUAAGCGGAGGA